UUCUUUAUUGAAGAUCGUAACUUGUGCAAUAAAUUACAUUUGUACGAUAAUAAGAAGCACUUGUUUUUUACAAAAAAUGCUUCAAUAAAUUCAAAGACAUGUGCGGCCUUUUUUCUUUUUAUGUAAUAUGCUAAUUGUAAAACUAGAAAAUUCACGUAAAAUAUAACUCGUACGUGUUUUUGUUUCGACUUUUACAAUUAAUUAAAAGCUUCAAAAGUAAAUUAUUCUGGUUUAUCAUUUGGGAGAGAGAUUGAAAAUUACAUUUAAAAAUAUGAAAACGAAAUUUUCCUAAGAAAAAAGAAGAAAGAACAAAAAUAAGAGAGUAAUAAAAAAUGUUAUUAAAAUAUGAUAAAAUUUGAACAGUGAACGUAUUAGAUUAGAAAUCCCCAAGAACUUUCCCCAAGAAUACAUAAAAAUAUUUGCUUAGAUAAAGGUGACAAAUUUAGUCGAUCUAAGGAGCACGAAGAUUUAGGUCUACGCAUACCGAGGAGUGAAUAUAUAUCUUCAACAAAAGAUAUAUAGCUUUCUGUGGAAGAGAAAAACAUAGAGACUAGGAGUAUAAUAAAAUCAUUUCUAGGUGUGUGCGUGUCAAAGAGAGACGUAACUGGUCUUCUUCGCGUCCAUGGAAAAUUUAACGAAGCUCAUCUCUUUUUUCGUGAGAUGUCUUUUCUUUCUUUUUUUUUUUUUGUAACUUCGUUUUGUUCACUCUCUUCUCGUUGCGUCUCUUUUGAAAUUCCCAGACUAGUGACAAUACGACAGUCUCCCCGAGCCAUUGCACGCGACUAAUUUCUCCAAUUGCCCUUAACUCGUCUUAUUACUCUCUUAAUUGGCAAAUAAACUUCUUGGGUAGAUGAUCACCUCCUAUUACUCCGAAUCGUAACUCUUUCGAAAUACCAACAAUAUUUUACAUUAGAUCGGUGAACUUAAUAUUUACUAAUUCCUUGCGUAUUUACGAUUUCUGAUUUAUCGAAUUACGGUGGUUUAAGUAUUCUAGAUAGCUAUGGUUCGCCACAAUAUGAUCUGUUUUUUUGGGUUGGUCAAUAGCCGAAGGCCAAAACCAGAACCCUCUGCCAAGAGCACACCACCACAUGGCCAAGCAUGAUGUGAUAUUGUGCAUUCUCUUUCUCUCCUAUUAUAUCGUCUCACCUACACAGCAAUAUCGGCGUCUGUUUACAUCGAUAGAAUGUAUCAAACAGCUUGCUAUGCGUGUCACCGUAGUCCAGGAGCCCUGUAUUUACACAAUCAAAAUUUAUCGCCUAAAUUAUUCGAAUCUUUUGACACAAUAGUCGUAACAAUGGUGAUGCCGUUUUCUUGACAAUCUUUCCUUUAUUCAUAGUAUUCAUUUAUGUUAGGAAUAACGUAUUAUUAUUAAUAAAUUAUUAUUUCAAAAUGCAAUUUAUAUACAUGCCGAUAAACUUGCUUAACUACGAACAACAAAAAUAUCAAACAAAAUCCAAAUUGGUUUAUUAAUGGAAUUACAAUAGUUUCUUUUUCAUUUGUAGAUAUGAAUUGUUAGUUUACGUUGUUGACAAAAUUAUUCCAAAUACCCGGCAAACCAAAUUUUAAUUUUAUAAUCUGAUGAUAUAAACAUAAACGCGGAAAAAUUGUAUUAUUGCAGCAAUGGCGCAGAAAAUAUGAAAUGUCCGUUUUACAUUUCGAGGUAGUACAAUUGUUUUAACAGGAAUGUUAGCAAUGCGUUUUAACAUAGAAAUUUCGUGGCGGUGGUUGCUACAGUGUUAUGGUAGCAUGACGACAAUGGUGGCUCGAUGAAAAGAAAGAGGGGUGAAAGUUGUGUCUGAUAUCGAUUUCUCUUGCUCUAGAGAGAGAGAGAGAGAAAGAGAAAGAGAAAGAGAAAGAGAAAGAGAGAAAGAAAGAGGAUGCUCACCGAACGGCUUCUGUUUCUUGCCACAAAUCCCUUUGGUGGCAGCACUAUCUCUACCCUUUUUUCUUCUCUCUUUAGCUAUUUCAUCAAAAUUUCAUUUAAACGUCCCAUUUUAUUGAAACUAUUUUAAUUUUAUCUAAAUUAAAUUGCCCUUAAAAAUGUCCCUUGAUGGAAUAGGAAGUGAACUUCAUUAAAAGAUAAUACUUAUCGGUUAUUUCAAGAUCUAUACGUAUUUCCUUUCCCCUUCAGCCCCCCUCCCACCUCCUUUUCUUGGUAAAAUGAUCUUUCCUUAUUUUCUUUCAAAUUUGACAAUAAUUUUAGAAACUUUCAUUAUUGAGUCGAAAACGUUAAAGUCUUUGGUAUUUUCUUCUUUUAUCCAAACAAUGUUUUUAUCUUUUCGCGUAAUUGCACACGUUUUCAAUACAUUCUCAGUAGACUCAAAUUCGGAGUAUACCACUUUAGUUACUUUUCCUUCGAGUUAUAUCUUUCUCUAAACAUAAUGCGUAUCGCCAUCGAAUAAAAUGUUAGAAAGGAAAUAAGAAAUGAACGAAAGUUCAUUCAACAGGUCGCUCUGUUUGUUGAACCUUUUCAAAUGCUAGUGAGAAUAGGUCUAAUAAAAUAAGAAAAGAAAAAUAAGAGGGGUAGGGGGCUAUUAAAUGAAAUCGACGUUAAUCAUUGCUUAUGCCAUGCCAAGGGUUACAGAAGAUAAAAGAAAAGGUUCUUUUUGUCAAUCUAAACUGCACUAUAAUGUCCUCCUAUGUUGGACGAUGAAAAAAACCCCCUGGUGUAACUAAUCUGAAUUACGUUUAAUUAAAGAUGACCACUUAAUGAAUCUGAACUAUCUGAAAGAUCUCUUCUCGACUAUAUUUUAAUCGUCAUUUCAAUUUCAUGAAGGAACUUUUAAACAAGUUUAUACAUUUAUAUAAAAUUUUCAAAUUUGUUAUUCUCUUUAUUUUUUUAUAUAAGUAAAAUGAAAAAAUAAAAGUUUUACACACACACAAUAUUUGUUAUUUUAUUGAACAAUAUACGAUUCAUUUUUCUCAUAUAUUUAUGUUCUACGCUGUACGUUAUUCAUUUUUAGUAAAAAAAUAACAUAUAAUAAAGAAUAUUCUGCACGUAAAAUGAUUGACAUGAGAAAAAAAAGAAACUUGGUAAUAAACUUUUGAGACGAUAUAGUAUAAGAGAAAUUUGUCUUAUUUAUUACAAGCAUCGGUGGCAAUUGUAGGAUAAAAGAGAAUAAAUGGGCACCCAGACGAGAACUAAUCGAAAUGUGCAAGAGCGUUGCGAAUGAUCAGGAGCCAUAGUCAAGUACAACGCGGCACACAUGCAUACUCUUGUCAAUGUGUCCAUGUACACAUACACAUAUCAGAAGUACAUAGAAUACGUGCCUAGGCGUGGUACUUGGAAUAUUGAAAAAGAGAAAGGUAGAUAAAAAGAAAGAAACGAGUUACGUAUCGUGUACAUAUAAUAUACACAGUACUUAUUUCGGGAAUAAGAGAAAAAAAAAAUUAAGAAAGAGAGGGUGAAAAAAUAGUUACCGGCAAGAAGAUGACUAGACAGUAUCGAAGUGGCACUCAGAAGAACCUACUAAAGAGUUCGAACACUACUAAAGAAGAGCAACGAGGCGUAGUGGUUAAGCAUUUUAGGAACAGGUUCUUCACGAUGAAAACCUAGUAACGAGGACGUUUAUACUGAACAAAAAAAAAUAAGAAUAAUAAUGAUAAUGUUCAUUGCUUAAUGAAAAUCAAGCCAAUAUUAAAUUUUCUGUAAAAAAAAAAAACUAACACGAUCCAGCGAUUUAACUUGAACUUACGUUAGAAUUUAUCGAUCUUGGACAGUGAUCGGUGACCCCUCCUUAAAAGGAAUUAUUUUUUUUCAAUCUAAUCGAGAUUAUUAUAGUAUUGUACUUGAAACAAGGAUUACUCGUGAAGAUAGACUGAUGGAAUCGAGUUUAGAAUUGAGUUUCGAAUCGAGAAAAUAAGAACGAGAUGACUGGAUAAAAAUCAUUAUUGGAAAAGUGAUGAUCUUUUUCCAGUGCUAGACUACAACCGAACACUUUUCAAUAAUCGGAUGAGAAUUCAAUCGAGAAACUGAGGAUACACAGACCUAUAAUCACUCAAUCAAAGAUUUCUCUCUCUCUCUCUCUCUCUCUCUCUCUUUUUCUCUAGUGUAGUAACGAAACGAUUCUAGGAACGACUAGCUAACAACAGUCUUGGAAAUUCGAGUCUGAAUUAGUAUACUUGAAUAAGUAAAGGAUUGAAACGUUGGAAAUUGUAUGUUGGAAGGUUUUUUGGAGGCUGAGAAGAAAUCCUUUCUUGCAGCAGCAACAGCUGCUCGAAAUAAGAAACGAAUCAUGGUCUGAUCCAAAUUCAGUAUCACAAAAAGAAGAAGUAAAGAGAAAAAAAAUAAAGAACGUGGAGCACAGAUAAAAAGUAAAUUAAUGAAAAUUGAUAUUUCCUUUGAUGAAGAGUAGAUAUGCAUGUAUUUUUGUUUUUUCAUAGAAAGUUUUAAAAGUGUUUUAUUAAUAGAAUAUUUAUAAGACAAAUACUUUGUUUAUAUUUAUGUGCGUAAUGGGUCACAAACUUGCAUUGAUUGAAGAGAACACAGUGCUUCAUAUAUAUGUUACUGUCAAAGCCGGAAAUCAGGCAUUACUAGNAAAUCCUCGGCAUUACUAUGAAUGUGAAGAGCCUUCAGACGAAGUCGGAAAUAAGAUUUGUGAUAAACGAUUAUAAUGCAACUGGUUAAACAUCUUGUUUGCUUAAUUAAGAAUAAAAUUAAACCAAUGCAUAUGAUAAAUAAAUGAUAAAUAUUAUAAGAUUUUUAAGUUGUGAACAUAGUUGAAAAAAGUACGACUGUAAUUUGGAUUGUAAAUAUUUGAAUUAAACAAGAUAAAUAUUUGUAUUAUAUUUGUUACAAAUUAAAAAUUCACGGAUGUUUUAAAAUACAA
rnacentral:lncRNA from 1 species